GGGGGGAUAUUGCACAAUGGGCGAAAGCCUGAUGCAGCGACGCCGCGUGGGGGAUGAAGGCUUUCGGGUUGUAAACCUCUUUCGCUAUCGAACAAGGCCCGCUUAGGGUGGGUUGAGGGUAGGUGGAGAAGAAGCGCCGGCUAACUACGUGCCAGCAGCCGCGGUAAUACGUAGGGCGCGAGCGUUGUCCGGAAUUAUUUGGCGUAAAGGGCUUGUAGGCGGCUUGUUGCGCCUGCUGUGAAAACGCGGGGCUUAACUUCGCGCGUGCAGUGGGUACGGGCAGGCUUGAGUGUGGUAGGGGUAACUGGAAUUCCAGGUGUAGCGGUGGAAUGCGCAGAUAUCUGGAGGAACACCGAUGGCGAAGGCAGGUCACUGGGCCAUUACUGACGCUGAGGAGCGAAAGCAUGGGUAGCGAACAGG
rnacentral:rRNA from 1 species